rnacentral:rRNA from 1 species
AAUGAACGCUGGCGGCAGGCCUAACACAUGCAAGUCGAACGGAUCAUUCGGGAUUAGUGGCGGACGGGUGAGUAACGCGUGGGAACAUACCCAAAGGUACGGAAUAGCCUCGGGAAACUGGGAGUAAUACCGGAUGUGCUCGAAGGAGGAAAGAUUUAUCGCCUUUGGAUUGGCCCGCGUUGGAUUAGGUAGUUGGUGGGGUAAUGGCCUACCAAGCCGACGAUCCAUAGCUGGUUUGAGAGGAUGAUCAGCCACACUGGGACUGAGACACGGCCCAGACUCCUACGGGAGGCAGCAGUGGGGAAUCUUAGACAAUGGGGGAAACCCUGAUCUAGCCAUGCAGCGUGAUCGAUGAAGGCCUUAGGGUUGUAAAGAUCUUUCAGGUGGGAAGAUAAUGACUGUACCACCAGAAGAAGCCCCGGCUAACUCCGUGCCAGCCGCCGCCGUAA